AAUGAACGUUGGCGGCGUGGAUUAGGCAUGCAAGUCGCGCGACAAGGAACCUUCGGGUUCUGGAGGAGCGGGCAAACGGGGUAGUAAGGCAUCGGAACGUACCCUCUUGUUGGGAAUAGCCGCGGGAAACUGCGAGUAAUGCCCAAUAAUCCCUACGGGGCAAAGGUCCGCCGCAGGAGGAGCGGCCGAUGUGAUACCAGCUAGUUGGUGAGGUAAUGGCUCACCAAGGCUUAGACGUCUAGGGGGUNUGAGAGCACGGGCCCCCACCACUGGGACUGAGAUACUGCCCAGACACCUACGGGUGGCUGCAGUCGAGAAUCUUCGGCAAUGGGCGCAAGCCUGGACCGAGCAACGCCGCGUUGCGGG
rnacentral:rRNA from 1 species